rnacentral:snoRNA from 1 species
AAACCAUGAUGUGGGCACUGCCUAAGUAGGUCUUUGUAUUUAUUCCAAGCUUCAUAUAACGACUCACCUCAAACUAUAUGAACAAAGUGAUAUUGUUCCUCAUUUU